UUGUCUCUUCCUCUCCGUCGUCUCUCCAUGGUGUGCUUGUUAUAAACUUAUGUAGCAGCGGACGUCAAUUUCAUGCAGCCGCCGACAUCAAAUUUGGUGGAGUGCUCUUAUGGGAUCUGAUACGAGUCGCUCCGAGAUCAGAUAAGGUAAUCACUCACCUACUCCUAUCAGAUCUAUAAGUUUUUUGUAUAGGGCACCCCAUGUGUUACUUUGAUCUAAUGAGGUUGAAAUACUAUGAAGCUCAUGGUGACAUAGCGAUAUAAUCAAGUUUUAAUGUACACUAGGAAUAUACCUGAUAUGAGUAGGAUAGAAAAAACAUUUGAAAUGGUAUUUUACUUGCAUAUAUUCAGUCAUUAGGCCUUUCCAUUUCUAAAAGAAAAGUGAUGUAUGUUGCCCUUAUUUUUCUGUGUAGGUUUGGGCAUGCCAGAGGAUCCAAUAAUAAAUAGCAAACGGAUCGUAUCGUACGCUGUGUAACAUAUACUAUACAUUCCAUCAGUUGCACUGGGAAACCUAGAAUGACUAUGUAUUAAUAAACCAUGUGUUAGUGAAGACACAAACUUGGAUGUAGAGCUCAUGUUUGUUAAGUUGUUUGGUUGUAUGUGUGACAUGGUUCAUAUACAUAUUGCUAGCUACUUUAUUUUUUGUUCAUUGAUAAUACUAUAUUUAAGAAAUUACCAUGUUAUUUUGGUUAACAUUGUCAUUUAGCAUACAAUACUAUUUUACCGCAUAGUUAUAGUUAUAUUUUCAAAUACAUUAUUAAUCAAUGUGCUUUAUAUUUUAUGCAGAACUUUCACUUAUUGGGAAGUGAACAAAUG
rnacentral:lncRNA from 1 species